ensembl:lncRNA
UUUCUCCCUCUAAGUUUCACACCCGAGAAUAAAAGCGGGUUUGAAGGCUGAUGGGGGCUGCUCUGGGAACCCUUUCUCAUGUAGGUGGCUGCCUGACACUUUGAAAGAGGCAGCCUGGAGAUGGACGGCUCCUUCUAAUGAAAGCUUCUCAUGCUGUCAAAUGGAGACAAAAAGUUGUUUAUUCUGGAGUAAUUGGUGCAGUUUUAUACUCUCGGGGCGUCUGUGCCAACAGGAGGAAGAGAUAGAAGUGGCUCCGGCCCCCACUUAGUAAUGCAGAGGACUGCGUCCAUGCCCCUGCUCCUCCGUGAUGGGUUACCCCCGCUGCGCGAAGGCAUUAUGGACCCAGCACCAGGAUGCACUUGUCUUUCCAAGAGAUUUGCAUAUGGCAUUCAAGACAGUGGAAAGAGUUUGCAUACAGUUUUUCAGCCUCUGAAGUUUCAAAUAUCCUACUGAUUUUCCUGGGAGUGAAAAGUUGGGCAUUUCUGGGCACAAAUGAAUCUCCUCUUGUUCUGAUGGAGGCUCAGGAAACUUUCAAGUGCUGUUCAAACGUACUUUUAAAAUAUACUUUAGCUUAUAAAUAUUUCUUUCUGAUUUCCUGUGGCGAAGUUGAGCAACUGAGAAACAUCACAAGAUCUGACGUACAUUUGAACAUUUCCUUUAGGCAGUGAAAUUCUCCUGCAGAGUACUGAGCCUACAGCGGAAUCCAAUGUAUUUUCUCAUUUAUGCCAUUAAUCAAAAAGAAAAUGUUUCAAGUACUACUCACAGACAUUUUACUGCAUCAGUGUGCAGUGAGUUUACUAGGUCACAUCACAAACCAGAGGCAGAAAAAUGGCAUAAUGUAAAAAAAAAGCUUUGUGGACAAGAGAGGAGCCUAGAGUAAUUCAGUGAUGUAAACAAGAGAAAGCGCGUAAACAAGGAAAGCUUUCCCAUGUAUAUGUAUUCUCAAGAAUUUGUAAUAUAUUUUGUCCUGUUUGCUGUUUACUUUUGGCAGAUGUUUCUUAGGCAUAUUUGCCUAUUAAAGACAAUAUAUUUAUUUUCUUUUUCCCUUUUACCGCUUCCUACAUUCCCCACUGCAGAUUUCAAGGACAGUUUGUUUUGCUCUUCUUCUUAGGCAAUGAUUGUGGCAAAUUGUUGCUUACUUGUAAUACUUCAGAUUAGACAGAACAAUCAGUAUGCAAAAAUACUCUGGAAUUUUUGUCCACAUGUCAGAAAUGAUUCCCAACACUGUAAUGCUGCAAUUCUUUUCUAGUUUUUCUAUAUGCAGUUUCUAAUCUUUGCACCAAGUUUAGGCCAAGUGAUCUCAUUAAAUGAAUACUGAAUUUGGCUCUUUGUAGCCUCCCUAUAUGAGAUUCUGAAGCAAUUCCAGAAAUAUUUUGAAGUUGUACUAAGGCUACGUAGAAGAAGAAAAAGUCUAAUAAGCUAGACAUGGCCUCUUGCAUUGUGUUGUUACUUACACCAGCCAUUAUAACAGGCAGAUUAUGUUACACAAUAGACCUGUGUCGCUUGCAGGGCUGCAUGGAGCAUUUAGAUAUGUGGUACAUCAAAAAGGUAAAAGAGAAUUAUCAUCUUUUCUAAUCUAAUGAUUGGAUUAUACGUCCCAGUGUAUCAAUUAAGAAGAAGUUUCUUAGGCUUUGAUACUGUCAGAAAAGUUACCAUGUUUUUAUAUAGAUUAAAAUUUGUCCAACUCUAUGGCUGCAAACUCUCUGAAAUGAGUUUAUUUUAGGAAAUUGCACCAGGUGGAUUUUAAGUUCAUUUUACUGGCAAAACUGAUAUAGGAUAGCCAAGGCCUACCCACAUUCAUCUUGUUAGGUCCUAGUGUUUAAAAUGCAAAGAAUGGAGUCCAGGCGUUUCUGGCAUUCUGAAUACUUUCUGAUAUUAUGAGAAAUAAAAAGCAAGCGCUGAUUCUUGCA